CCUUGAGGCGUGCUUCCGGAGCUAACGCGUUAAGUCGACCGCUGGGAGUACGGCCGCAAGUUAAAACUCAAUGAAUUGACGGGGGCCCGCACAAGCGGUGGAGCAUGUGGUUUAAUUUGAUGCAACGCGAAGAACCUUACUUACUCUUGACAUCCAGAGAAUUUAGCAGAGAUGCUUUAGUGCCUUCGGGAACUGUGAGACAGGUGCUGCAUGGCUGUCGUCAGCUCGUGUUGUGAAAUGUUGGGUUAAGUCCCGCAACGAGCGCAACCCUUAUCCUUUGUUGCCAGCGGUCCGGCCGGGAACUCAAAGGAGACUGCCAGUGAUAAACUGGAGGAAGGUGGGGAUGACGUCAAGUCAUCAUGGCCCUUACGAGUAGGGCUACACACGUGCUACAAUGGCAUAUACAAAGAGAAGCGACCUCGCGAGAGCAAGCGGACCUCAUAAAGUAUGUCGUAGUCCGGAUUGGAGUCUGCAACUCGACUCCAUGAAGUCGGAAUCGCUAGUAAUCGUGGAUCAGAAUGCCACGGUGAAUACGUUCCCGGGCCUUGUACACACCGCCCGUCACACCAUGGGAUGUGGGUUGCAAAAGAAGUAGGUAGAUUAACCUUCUGGAUNCCGGNAACAUNUUUUGGAUANAC
rnacentral:rRNA from 1 species